rnacentral:rRNA from 1 species
CUCGUAGGCGGUUCGUCGCGUCCGGUGUGAAAGUCCAUCGCUUAACGGUGGAUCCGCGCCGGGUACGGGCGGGCUUGAGUGCGGUAGGGGAGACUGGAAUUCCCGGUGUAACGGUGGAACGUGUAGAUAUCGGGAAGAACACCAAUGGCGAAGGCAGGUUUCUGGGCCGUUACUGACGCUGAGGAGCGAAAGCGUGGGGAGCGAACA